UACGUAGGGGGCUAGCGUUGUCCGGAAUCAUUGGGCGUAAAGAGCGUGUAGGCGGCUCGGUAAGUCCGCUGUGAAAGUCCAGGGCUCAACCCUGGAAUGCCAGUGGAAACUGUCGAGCUAGAGUCCGGAAGAGGCGAGUGGAAUUCCUGGUGUAGCGGUGAAAUGCGCAGAUAUCAGGAGGAACACCUGUGGCGAAAGCGGCUCACUGGACCAUAACUGACGCUGAUGCACGAAAGCUAGGGGAGCAAACAGG
rnacentral:rRNA from 1 species